rnacentral:rRNA from 1 species
GUAGGUGGCAAGCGUUGUCCGGGAUUAUUGGGCGUAAAGCGCGCGCAGGUGGUUCUUUAAGUCUGAUGUGAAAGCCCCCGGCUCAACCGGGGAGGGUCAUUGGAAACUGGGGAACUUGAGUGCAGGAGAGGAAAGUGGAAUUCCACGUGUAGCGGUGAAAUGCGUAGAUAUGUGGAGGAACACCAGUGGCGAAGGCGACUUUCUGGCCUGUAACUGACACUGAGGCGCGAAAGCGUGGGGAGCAAACAGGGAUUAGAUACCCUGGUAGUCCACGCCGUAAACGAUGAGUGCUAAGUGUUGGGGGGGUUUCCCGCCCCUCAGUGCUGCAGCUAACGCAUUAAGCACUCCGCCUGGGGAUACGGUCGCAAGACUG